UAUAUAUAUAUAUAUAUAUAUAAUUUUAUUUAUAAAUAUAUAUAUAUUCAUUUAUUUAUUAUAUGUAAUUUUUUAUUUAUAAAUUUAUAAUUAUUUAUUAAUAUUUCUAAAUACAUAACUCCUAUAUAUUAUUAAUAUAUAUUUAUUAUAAUUUUGAAUAUAUUUAAUUUAUAUAAAAAAGCAUAAAAAUAAUAUAUAUAGUAUAUUAAUUAUUAUAUAUUUAUUAUGUAGCCGAAUUUUUUAUUCCGAAUUUUUAAUUGGUAAACGUAUAAUAUCCGUAUAAAUUACGUAUCUGAAUAAUUACCAAAUCCAUUUUUUAGCUGUAUUUUUCAACGAAUUUAAAAGUUAAAAAACGAAUUUUAUCCGAGUUAUACCCGUAUCGAAUUUUUGCCGAAUCCGAAUUAACUAACUAUGGUUACACUAUGCUAUACCUAUAAAAGAAAACUAUCCUACGAAUUGUUUGGGAGCCUAAAAAAAAACCCAAUUUUUGGAGUAUAGUUAAAUUAUGCUCUAAAAAUAAAGUAAAAUAAUAAUCCAUUCCAACCUAACGAAAAAGAUUCCACCAUUCUUCAGCUCCAGCCUAAGAUUCAAAUUUUAAAUUUUAAUAAAAUAUUUUCAAUUUCAAAAAUUAAAUUUAAAAAAUUAAAAACUAAAUUUUAAAUUUUAAGUUUCAAAUUUUAAUUUUAAAUUUUAAAUUUCAAAAAUUAAAUUUUAAUUUUAAAUUUCCAACUUUUGGCUUUAAAUUUUUAAUUUAAUUUAUAUUUUAAUUUUGAAAUUUUAAAACUAUCUUAAAUUAUAAUUUUUAAAUUUCAAUUUUAUUUUUAAAUUUCAAUUUUAAAUUUUAAAUUUUUAAAAUUUUAAAUUUUAAAUUUUAANUUUUAGAUUAUAAAUUUUAAAGUUUUAACCUUCAAAUUUUAAAUUUUAAAUUUUAAAUUUUAAAUUUUAAUUUUAAUUUUAAAAUUUUAAAUUUUAAUUUUAAUUUUAAUUUUUAAAAUUUAAAAUUUAAAUUUAAAUUUUAAGUUUUAAACUUUUAAAAUUUAUAAUUUUUAUUGUUAGAAAUUCUAUGAAAUUGUAUAAUGUGUAUCCAAGUGGUUUAAAAUAGUGAAGCUUUGGAAUUUUUUAUAGUUAUAAGAUUUUCUAUUUCAUUCAGACCAAAAUC
rnacentral:lncRNA from 1 species